rnacentral:rRNA from 1 species
GACGAACGCUGGCGGCGUGCUUAACACAUGCAAGUCGAACGAUGAUCCCCAGCUUGCUGGGGUGAUUAGUGGCGAACGGGUGAGUAACACGUGAGUAACCUGCCCUUGACUCUGGGAUAAGCGUUGGAAACGACGUCCAAUACCGGAUACGACCAGCCUCGGCAUCGGGUGUUGGUGGAAAGAAUUUUGGUCAAGGAUGG